UACGAAGGGGGCUAGCGUUGUUCGGAAUCACUGGGCGUAAAGGGCGCGUAGGCGGCCGAUCAAGUCGGGGGUGAAAGCCUGUGGCUCAACCACAGAAUUGCCUUCGAUACUGUUUGGCUUGAGACCGGAAGAGGUAAGUGGAACUGCGAGUGUAGAGGUGAAAUUCGUAGAUAUUCGCAAGAACACCAGUGGCGAAGGCGGCUUACUGGUCCGGUUCUGACGCUGAGGCGCGAAAGCGUGGGGAGCAAGCAGG
rnacentral:rRNA from 1 species